AGAUUUGAUCCUGGCUCAGGACGAACGCUGGCGGCGUGCCUAACACAUGCAAGUCGAGCGGGGCAUGCGACGGAUAUGAAGUUUUCGGAUGGAAUAGAAGAUGUAUGUUCUAGCGGCGGACGGUGAGUAACGCGUGAGCAACCUGUCCCUUACAGGGGGAUAACACAGCGAAAGUUGUACUAAACCGCAUAAGACCACGGUGAGACAUCUCGCAGGGGUCAAAGGAGCAAUCCGGUAAGGGGUGGCUCGCGUCCGAUUAGAUAGUUGGUGAGGUAACGGCCCACCAAGUCGACGAUCGGUAGCGACCUGAGAGGGUGAUCGGCCACAUUGGGACUGAGACACGGCCCAAACUCCUACGGGAGGAGCAGUGGGGAAUAUUGGGCAAUGGGGGAAACCCUGACCCAGCAACGCCGCGUGAGGGAAAAGGUUUUCGGAUCGUAAACCUCUGUCCUUGGUGAAGAGGAAGAGACGGUAGCCAAGGAGAAGCCCCGGCUAACUACGUGCCAGCAGCCGCGGUAAUACGUAGGGGGCGAGCGUUGUCCGAAUGAUUGGGCGUAAAGGGCGCGUAGGCGGCCCGGUAAGUCUGAAGUGAAAGUCCUGUUUUAAGGUGGGAAUUGCUUUGGAUACUGUCGGGCUUGAGUGCAGGAGAGGUAAGUGGAAUUCCAGUGUAGCGGUGAAAUGCGUAGAGAUUGGGAGGAACACCAGUGGCGAAGGCGACUUACUGACUGUAACUGACGCUGAGGCGCGAAAGUGUGGGGAGCAAACAGGAUUAGAUACCCUGGUGUCCACACUGUAAACGAUGAAUGCUAGGUGUAGGGGGUAUCGACCCCUUCUGUGCCGCAGAAACACAAUAAGCAUUCCGCCUGGG
rnacentral:rRNA from 1 species